UACGAAGGGGGCUAGCGUUGCUUCGGAAUCACUGGGGCGUAAAGCGCACGUAGGCGGACAUUUAAGUCGGUGGGUGAAACUCCCGGGGGCUCAACCCCGGAACUGCCUUUGAUACUGAUAGUCUCGAGUCCGGAAGAGGUGAGUGGAAUUCCGAGUGUAGAAGGUGAAAUUCGUAGAUAUUCGGAGGAACACCAGUGGCGAAGGCGGCUCACUGGUCCGGUACUGACGCUGAGGUGCGAAAGCGUGGGAGCAAACAGGG
rnacentral:rRNA from 1 species